ACAGAACAAGAGGAGGAAACAAAGUCCCACUCAAAGUGUAUAUUUCACACACGUGCAGGGGGCUCACACAUGUCAGCUCCACAUGAGCCCCUAUCCACACACACACACACACACACACACACACACACACACACACACACACACACACACACACACACACACACACACACACACCAUGCGGGCAUGUGCAAGCACUGCCCACUAUGGUGCAGGAAUGGCCAUUGAAACAGUGCUUCCCGCACUAAACGACCUUUCCUGGUCACCUUCAGACGUGCACGAGCAUCGUCCCCGUGCUCAUCGUCAUAACAACGGGAGGGGGUCCCGAUCCGUGCCGAGGACCUCCAGUAGGCCUCCUGCAACCAAUCCAAGAGCGAGAGAGCGACCGAUGGUGCGCCACACGCCUCCCCCGUGUCCCUGCGCAAGGUUACCGGGCCGGCCCAACUCAACCCCACCCGGAGCGGGUCCCCCGGCCGCGGAUCGUUACCACAUCGAAUCGACCCCCCCGCUGCUCAGCGCUGCAGGUGCGACGGGGCCGUAACCGGGACAAACAACAACGGCGCAGCCCGGCGCACACUGGCGAGGAGAGCGGCAGCCUCCAUCCGCGGACACGGGACACGCACCGAUGGGUGGAGGGAUGGAUCCAGGACGAGUUUCCCUGAAUCUCAACGUGCAGCUUGAAUCAGAGUUCAUGUCCGAGCAGGAGGAACCCACUCUCAAUCUUCUCAACCUCUUCCACUCAGUGCAGCCGUGGAGCUGAGGCUGAAGGCUGAAGGCUGAAGGCUGAAGGCAUCAAGACAUCCAGCAUCUCGAGCACGACCAGAGAUGCUGUCAUUCAGGGUCGACCUCGUGGAGUCGAUGGGUCAACUCAUAAA
ensembl:lncRNA